AAUUUUUUUUAAUUUUUAAUUUUUUAGUUUUUUUUUAUGGGUUGUAUACCUUCGAAACUUUGAUUCUUAAGUAUCAAUCAGGGUCUUGCUGUUCUAGGAAGAACCUUUUUUUUUUGGGUUGUUGGAUUUUUAAGGGCAUCUGUUUCUUCCUUCCUUCUGAUCCGUUUUCAGUAAAAGUUGUUUCUUUUAAAUCUAAGGUUUCCACAGCAUCUGAAGUAUUUAUUGUUCUGAUUCGUUCGAUUUAUUUAAUUCAGUUUAGAUCUCUUAAUUUGAUGUUUUUUUUUCCUUAUUCUUUGUUCAUCUUCCUUUAUCUGAUGGAUUUUCAUGACGAUUUACAGAUAGGGUUGCUGAAAUUGCUAAACCAAAAGCACAGAUGAAGGGCCCGAUUAAUUUGACCUAAAUUGCAAAUAAACAGAAACCCUCGCCUCGCCCAUGAUCGAGAAGAAAUUAGGGUUCAUAUGUAUGGUUUGAUUUGGAUUUUGCAUUGUCUGUAAAUGCUAAUUUAAUUGUGAGGUUUUAUGUGUUACUCCAGUUUAAUUUGGGUAGAUGCGGGUACAUGGUUUGAGCUCCAGCAAAAAGAAAAGGAAAUGGUACCUGUACAGGCAGAAAGAAAAGGGUAUCUGCAGAUGCUUAUUAAUUUCAAUUUAUUUGUUGACAGAUGUUAAUCCGGAUCAAAUCAUUGUUGACAGAUGCUAAUUGGGAUCAAAUCAAUUUAUAUGGUAUCUGCAAAACUGCCAAAGUAGAAUCCCAUAGCAUAAACUUCUAAUCGUUUCCUGUGACAGAUGAUCCAUUGAUAAACAAUUUCAACCCAUUUGCAGCAUAAUAGUGAGGCUUUUUUUUUUUUUUUGCUCAGUAAAUAGUGAGCUUUUAUUCAGUGGUAAGAACCAUUAUGAUACUCCAUGAGAGUUUGUUAAAUGUAUUUAGAAAAACUGUAUUCUUUGUUUGGAAAUGUGUACUUAAAUUACAAUGAACUCCAUAAUUAGAACUGCAUUACAAGUUUAAGCAAUGCCGGUAAGGAUCUUGGCCUAAUGGUUAUGCUGCCAAAGUUACUUUUUUUUUAUUCCACUGAUGGGCAGUGAUUUUACAGGGCCUAAUGGAUCAUGCUACCUACUAAGGAAUCGGAAAUGAUAAUUUGGGGAACAAGGACGGAGCUGAUGCUGAAGAUAAUGAUAUUGCCCAUCAAAGAUUGGUAAUGGCGGUGCUCAAUAAACUAUCUGGAUUUUCUUAUAACAUUUCUGGGGGGAGAGUUACAAUGCAUAUGUACAAGUUUGACAACUUUGAAGCAUAAGUGCAGUUCAUUUACACAACGUGAAUGAUAUAGAUUAAUGAAGAAUCAACUCAGCAGCAAGUGAAGCACCUUGCAACAAGCAUAUCCAGUGCUCUAAGAAAAAGAUUGAUCUGGGAUUUAAAAUCAGAACGGGCCUAAUGGUUCAUGCUACCUACUAUGGAAUUGAAAAUGAUAAAUUGGGGAACAAGGAUGGAGCUGAUGUUGAAGACAAUGAUAUUGGAAUAGGAAGCACCUUUGCAGUUUAUAAGAUCAGUGGUAGUGGCUACAAUGAGGUAGAAUCAACGGCAGCUGAAGUUUAUGUGAACGGUGUUAAGUAGAGAACUCCAUUGUUGGGUAAAUGAAUGAUGAAAAUGGUGGUAAUGAUUUAACUUAUAUUACAGAAGAUGUUAAUGCUGCGGAAGUUGUUUUUGAAAGGCUAAGAGAGGUGUGGAUUCCACUAUAGCUAAGAAUGUAUCGCUUACAUCAACAUUGCUGUCAGUUGUUUGUUUUGAAAACUGAAAAGAAACUCAAUGUUUGGUAGAUGCCUGCCCAGUCCUGAGAUUCUUUUGGAUCAUAUUUGAUAAGUAAUAACUAUAAUUCAUGUAUGAAAUGUUACCUGUAAACUAGCUUGGGUGGAAACCAUUUUGAGUUCACCGGGUGUUACUAUUCUUUUCAUUUUUCUUUAGAUGUUACAGCAGUUGAGUGCUUCGAGUUCUUAAACCAUAUUUGUUUGUAGUUUGUGCUUCUUCAAUGGUAUUAACAAGAAUGGGG